AACUGAAAAAACAAAUUAAGCAACAGAGGAAAAACAAAUCCAGAGAAAUAGCCUCUUCCGGGGAAGUCUGACCUCCCUGUCUAGAAGGUGAGGACAGUGCUGCGGCCGUGUUUCUGCUGGCUCCGGCCCGAGGCUGUCUCCCAGACAGCUGCUGUCCCACUGAAUUAGGUUCAAGCGAACACGGCCAUUGAGAUCCAAAGUAUUUCUGGCUGGUUUGGGCGUGGGUCCUUUCUCUAGAUGAAUAUUUUAAUGUGGGAAUUCAGAGGAAAGCUAUGGGGAAAGCAGUGUUGGUCAACUGACGACGCUAAAGAACCACCUUCGGUGGUUGUCACGGUGAGUUUGGCACUGAAGGCUCUUUGCUGUUCUGACCUGAAGCUCUCUGUUAGGACUUCCUGCUAUUUUUCUCACAAGCCCUCAUUUUCGCUGACAGUUCAGAUCAUGCCCUGUGCAUAUCCAGUUCCCCCGGUAGGCACGGCUCCUCCUUUCACCUCAAUGCCCCGCUUUCCGCUCGGCCCACACUGGACUCUUGCUACCUCUUGUUUUGGCUUAUGUUUAAUCUUACUUUUUUAAAGCAACAUCUUCUGAUUAUGAAAUAAUUUAUACUUUUUUUUUGCAGAGAAUGUGGAAAAUACAGAAAAGUAUAAGCAGAAGCAUAAAAAUUAUUCACAGUUGCACCCUUGGAGGGAGCUGUCCUAUAAAUCUUGGUGAAUUUGCUGCCCUUCUUUUUUCUGUGGAUCUGUCUAUUACAUGUGAUAGUUUUUAAAGCUGAUGUCAUGUUAUUGAUGUAGUUUUGCUUCUUGCUUUAUCCAUUGAAGACUAUAAUGUGAGAAAUUUCCUCGCUGGGGCUCUUCCCAAACCUGAUAUUUACUGACCACACCAAUAUUCAAUUGAAUGAGGGAGUGUCAUAAUUCAAUCACUUAUAGUUUCCAGAAACGUUGUGCUCAUUUACAUUUUCCUUAGCAGCAUAUGAGGGUGCAUGAAUCCCAUCAUCACAACGCAAUGGAAUUAGGGAGAAAUGCCAGUGAAAGAUGAAGAGAGAUGAGGCAGGACUAGCAGGAGCGCCUCAGACCCUCAUUUCUGCAGGCAAGAAAGGAAAGGAUCCUGUGGAAGGGUCUCCCACUGCUGUGUGAUUCUAAAAGCUUUGGGCAGGGGAUAGGGAGUCUCCAAACCAAAGCCUGGUGGCCAUUCUGUGACAGGCAGGAGUGGGCUGCUAUGAGGACCCUGGUCAUGUUGAAGCUUUGGCGGGGGGUCACCAAGAGGUGGAUAGCUGGAGCUGUCAGUCAACUCUGCUUCCCAGGGGCAGAUUCUCUCAAAACAGACCAGAACUAUAGCCCUUGCUCUCCCAUGCCCACCCCACUUCACCUGAUAAACAGGAAAUAUAAUUAAAACAUAUAAUUAUGAACUGUGAAAAUGGUCUAAUUUUGCUGGUUUUCAUUCUUCUGAUUAACCUUGAUGUCAAACAUUUCUCAUGAAUUUUGUUACAUACUUGUACUUCUAAGAAUUGUGUGCCUGGGUUCUCUGUUUGCCCGUGAUUGUUUUCUUUAUUGAUGUUUUAAGAGGAUUUGCGGCAUUAAGCCUGUUAACUCUUUCUCCAUUCUCUUUCAUAUUUUAACCAAUUUAUCACUUCUCUUUAUAUUUUAUGUAGGAUGUUUGGAUGUUUUAGAAUAACUCACUCUUCUGUUAAGAUCACUUUUAUUUACUUCAUGUUCAGAAAAUUCUUGCUCAUCCAGGCUCUAGUUAAAUAUAUGCCAGUAUUUUAUUCUAGAUACUUUUGGAUUCUUUUUUUUACAUUUAAUACACUGGGGUUUUAUUUCAGUGUAUGAGGGAGGGAUCAAACUUGAUUAUUUUCCCCCCUUUUAGCCACAUUUUCCAAUUUUACUUUCAGAUAAUUUAACCAUUAACCAUUUCUUCCUGGUGAUUCCUUUCUGAGAUUUAAAUUUUUAAAAUAUGUAUGAUAGAUCUCAGGACUAUCUGUUUCUACUUCAUUGGAUGAUCUACAGAAUCUUGUACCACCAGCACCACACUGUUUUAAUUAUUGUAUCAAGAAUAAUACAGUUAGAUAUCUCUUAGGGACAGUAUCUCCUUGAUAUUCUUUAAGCAGUUCUUAACUCUUCUCAUCCUUUUUUUCCCUUCCAGAUGGACUUUCAUCAAAUUCAAAGAAAAAAAAAAGAUUCCACUGGGAUUUAAUUCAGAUUGCAUUUCACCGAAAAAUUACAAGGAUUAACAACAAGGAUUAAUAGCAUUGCUGCAUUCAUUAUGGCAACCCAAGGUUAUGUCUCUCUAUUGACUAUUCUCUUUAAUUAAUCUGUGUAAAAAGUUUGCAUUUUUAAUAUAGGUCUUGGAUAUUUCUUAUUAGUGUUCUUUAUAUUUUUUUCCAAUACUCUUAAGAAUGCAUUUUUCUCCCUAUAUUUUCUGCUUGUUGUUAGAAUAGAAACAGUAUUUAUUUUGGAGAUUUUUGUAUUUUUAUCUUGUAUCUGACCCCUUCCCUAAUUUUUAUGAAUACUAAGAAUUUUACAGUCAGUACUUUUAUAUUAUCUUGGUGCAUAAUCAUAAUGUAGUCUGUAAGUAACAAACAUUUUGUUUCCUUCUUUCUAUUGUAGAGUUUGAGAAGUCGUCAGUGUGUAGUCCUGUUACCUUAAUUGUUUCUGAGUUAUGGGUUGAAUUUAUUUUGAAAUUUCAAAAAACUUCAAAGGGUAGUAUGUUAUUUUUGUGUUAAUCAAAAUGAACAAUGGGUUUCAAAAGCUUGAACAACGUCAUCUUGGGAGUGCCAAAUGAAUAGGAUGUCCUGUAUGUCAGGAGCAUGCCCACACUUUUCUUGCUAGGGUGAGUUUAUUGUCCCUGAUGAAUCCCAGGAGUACUAGUCCAUGAUGCUCUUAUUCCCUGGUGCUUUAACAUGCAGUGCAGCCGGAGUUGGCCUGAACUUUAGGAAAUGAGGUCGUAAGUCGAAAGAACAGGGAAUUGAGAAAGCACACAGAAGCAGCCAGGGCCAACAUUUUCCCCUAAACAAGCCAAUCAACAAAAAGCAAUGCCAAACAAGCCCCUUUGAAACUUUCAAAGUCCUCAUCCUAGUACCUUCCUAGCACUCUAGGAGACAUCUUUCAGCUGUUGAUUUAUGAACGCUGAGAGGCACGUGGAGGAAUUAAUGGAGGUAAAUAUCUAACUUAAAAAAUCUUCAGUAGGCAUUUUUAGACAAUCCUCCUUGAAAGAAAAGUGUGGAUGCUCUGUGCGUGUAUUGACUGCACCUGCAGGGGUAUAGCUGGAGAACACCCAGUGAGCAUCUUCAGGAGCCAAGUCACGCAGGGGCUUAGCUCUCAGUCCAUUGCGACAGUUGCCAUGAUGCCUUCUGACCAUUAAACACUUUGAACUCUUUUCUCUCAUCCUCUGUUAUUUGCUUUGGACCCAUAACAGACUCAUUAGUUAAAAAUAAGAAGCAAAGGUAAUCCUGAUGUUGAAUUACAAGUUAAUGCAGAGCACAGACAUGAAAAUAAUUCUAUGGGUUUGCUGCAGCAUAAUCCUUGCCAGAUCUCCAAGUUCCAUUCAUCUAAUGAAAAGCCUUAGUUUGAAGAACAUUUUGGAGAACUCUUACAUCAAGAGGUCUCCAGUACCUCAAAAACCAGUGUUCAAAAGGAAAAUGCACACGCGCAUUUCAGGGAGGUGGGAAUAAAAGCCUUCCUUUGCGCAGCGUGUUACAUGUGGAAAUGUGGAACGCACACGAUCAUUCUUACUGUUAAAAAACCCCACAAAGAUUAUAAAAAUAUGUCAGUUUUUUUUUGGUGCAAAAACUCACACGAUUAAAAAUAUUAUACUAUG
rnacentral:lncRNA from 1 species